rnacentral:rRNA from 1 species
UGAGGAAUAUUGGUCAAUGGGCGGGAGCCUGAACCAGCCAAGUCGCGUGAAGGAAGAAGGAUCUAUGGUUCGUAAACUUCUUUUGCAGGGGAAUAAAGUGCAGGACGUGUCCUGUUUUGUAUGUACCCUGAGAAUAAGGAUCGGCUAACUCCGUGCCAGCAGCCGCGGUAAUACGGAGGAUGCGAGCGUUAUCCGGAUUUAUUGGGUUUAAAGGGUGCGUAGGCGGCGAUAUAAGUCAGUGGUGAAAUAUUUCGGCUUAACCGAGAGACUGCCAUUGAUACUGUGUUGCUAGAAUAUGGUUGCUGUGAGUGGAAUGUGUGGUGUAGCGGUGAAAUGCUUAGAUAUCACACAGAAUAUCGAUUGCGAAGGCAGCUCACAAAGCCAUUAUUGACGCUGAGGCACGAAAGUGUGGGGAUCAAACA